CGCAAGCGUAAUGGGCGGAGAAAGGGUCGGGGCUCUGGAUUGGUUGCGCAGGCGCAAGGAAGGAUCCGUUUUGGCGGGCGGUUGGCGUUGCGCAGAAGGCAGCGGCAGCGGCGGCCAGUGGUCCGGCCUCACUUCAGAGGUAAAGGCAACACGUAAGCGUGAGGGGCCGGUUUUGUUUCUGUAGGUUCCCUGGAGCUCGGCCGCAAGUUUGACUGGCGUGCAUGUAGGCCAAUUGGGUCCUCCUCUAGCCGCCGCCCGAGCCUUCCUUGGGCCCUGCGAGUGCGGGGGGCGGGCCUUCUUCGUCUGAGCUGCGUCCCUCUCAGCCAAUGAGCAGCAAGCGCGCGGUAGGUUGGGCUGCGGCGAGAGCGGCGGCUGCCUCCCGGGGCGACGGGGAAGCGCGCUCUUCAAUGGCCGGAGCCGCGAAGAACUAACGCAGAUUCUCGGUUCAGUGCUCCCCAAGAGAGAGGUCUGCGUUUUGGGGACGUAGGGGUGUGUGAGAACGAGGGGAUCCAGUGCCUGCGCUGUCUCCCUUCACUCCCCCCCCUCCCGAUGCAGCCUCCAUUCCUUAAACCAUCGCUGUUUGGGGAGACUGGGUUUUCCCCCAUCAUAACUUGGGGUUUGGACGACCAGCAGAGGGGGAAGAAAAAAGAAGGCGGGUGAAAUUGCCUUGGAGAAUUUGCUUCUUUAGGGAAAGCUGACUUGAGACCUGGGGACGAGUAGAAUAAGCCUUUAUAUACUUUUUUUUGUAUCGAAAGCCCCCCCCUCCCUGACACACACACUUAGAAAGACUGCACAGUUCGCAGAGAUAAGUGUUUGUAAAUCGGCUCCACAGCACAAGCUUUGGAAAGCAAGCAAUUAGGGACAGACGCGGGGUCAGUCUUUGCAUUGAUAAUCGUUGAUUAAAAAUUAAUUUUAAAAGUCA